CAAGUCCAUCUUUUUAUAAAUUAUCAGUGCAUACAAAUCCUUUUAAAUAAUCAAUUAUUAUUUCAUGUUUGUUUGUUUCCAAAUGCAAAAAUAGAUUAGAUAAGUGGAUCGUGGAAUUUUCCAUGAUCCCUCUUUGUCAUUAAUCACAAUGAAUUUGAGGUGGCAAUCCAAGCAGGUCCAGAAGAAAAUAUUGUGUCAUCUUAAUGUAGAAAUGCAUUGUGUUUUAAAGUAAACAUUUUUUUUUUGCCACGCAAUAUUCUUACUUUUCUUUGUCCAACAGCAAACAAACACAGAUGAAAAUAUGGAAGAUGAAACAAACUCUAUGUGUUCUCUUUCACAGGUUAUGUUUACACUUUAAGGUUCCUUUUUACAAUUCGAGGGCACGCUUGAAUGAGGACUUUGUUAAACAAACAUGAAUUGCAUAAAUUCCGGGUUAAUUAGGAUAUAAUUGGGCUCGAAUCUUCCGUUGUUGUAGAUUACAGCUGGACCAAAGGUGUUUCUCUGCAAGAAAAUCAAUCAAAAACACAAAAUCAAUUCAGGGAACAGCACUUUUCCAGGUGUAAGCCUCAUGAAAACCACCACUUCCUCCCACAGUUUCCAGGCUGGAGAGAAGGAACGAUGCCAGAAAAAGAUUCAUUAAUAAUUCAGUGAGAGGCUGAAGCCUCACCACUUUAAGAUUACCGAAAGAAAAACCUAGAGCUGUUGUUGGACCAGCAAAAUCUUCACAUCAAGUGGGAUAUAGGAUUUCUCCAAUCAUUGCAUACACCAUUAGAAGAGUUCAUAUGAAUAUAGAUUAUACAUAUAGGAGACACCACCGUCAACUGGAUUUUGGAUGCAAGAGGAAGAUCAAAUGCAACAAGAAAGGAGUUCACCUGUGGUCGUUUACAACACUCGUUCGCUCGUUACCCUUCUCUGUUGAACGUCAUUCGUUGGUCAUUGAAUUAUCGUAUUUGAAUUUGAAACAUAUUGGGCUCAAAAGUUAAUUGUAAGUAUUGUAAGUAUAUCCAUCCAUCUUCUACACCUUGUAUCUUGUACACCGUGUGUCCUUACAGGGUCACCUGGGGUCAGGGAGUCAAUCCCAGCCAACCCAUCAGACGGCGAGACAAGGUGCCAGUUAAUCUGACGUGGAGACAGACAACCACACACUAGAAUAAUCAUACACCUUUCAGAGACACCAAUUAACCUCUCCUGCAUGCUAUUGCACUGUGGGAGGAGGAGAGAAGCCUCGAUGGCACGGCGAGAACAUGCAACCUCCAGCCAGAGAGGUGCCGAUGAGAGUACUUCUACGGUACCACUCUCUCCAACCCACCACCGUCUAUGCAUGCAAUGCGUAUUUACUUGUCAAAAAUUAAUUCCGUGCAGUCCAUUAUAACAAGGAAUACGAUGCAAUUAUAGUUUGUUUUGUAUGCACAAUAUCAAGUCAUUGACAAAUGGUCCCUGUACAAAUCAUGGCCACAACUAUUUAAUUUCAUGCCAUUUUUUCCACAGCUCCACUUGCCGCAUUCCUAAAAUAUACAUUUGUUUGGUUGUACGUGCAAAAAGGAGCAAAUGUAAUCCAUUUCUUUCGUAUGAGAACUAUAAAAAUCAAACAAUUUGUGCUUUCUUUUACCAAUUAGACGAAGGGGGUUUAAUGACUUAAUCGGUUUCCUGCCUCAACCGUAUUUUCUAUCUCACUUUAAUGUUCUUGUCAGCCACCAGCCUGAACAAAAUUGGUUUGAAAAUACUCCUCAUGACUUCAGUCUGUACUCCCCAGCAUUAGGUAUUUAUCACCUUCAGAAUUUAUUACAAUGCGCAGAGUUGAGUCUGGCAUCUUGCUGGCAUCCUUUCAAAUGAAUAUAAACCAAGAAGCAGCCCCCCUUUGGCACAAACGUCAUCUGGCUGUUUUUCAGAAGACUGAACACAUCAUCAGUCAUUUUUCCAUUAACAUCAAAAGCCUUGCGGAGUGGAUUAGUCAAUCAAAG
ensembl:lncRNA